rfam:Echinostoma caproni strain Egypt genome assembly, scaffold: ECPE_scaffold0011400
GUCCCGGUGGCGCAAUGGAUAGCGCGUCGGACUUCUAAUCCGGAGGCUGUGGGUUCGAGUCCCAUCCGGGACG